ensembl:lincRNA
AUGAUCUGGUCUGGAGAGCAGUCUUGGGCCGUGGCCAUAGCAACUCCGUUUUAUGAAAACAGGCCUGCCGUCGCUAGGAAACAACAUUGUCCUACCGUGUUUCAGCCACAGCUGGGUAAGGGCUCUUUGCUACAUAUUCUUUCCUUUUGUUGCCCUCUCCCAUUCCUGGCCGGCAGCUUCCCUUUCCACGAGGGUGACGGGUGCCUCCGCCCCUGGGGAGAGGGCUCUGGCCUGAGAGCGGACGCGUGGCCCAGAAGUCUCUGGCAGCGUCACCUGGAAGGGUGAGGAUUGCAAGGAGCGUGGUCUUCGUUCCCCUGAGAUUGCAGGUGCCGAGAGCUGUGCCAGUUCAGGACCCUGAGGUCACCUUCGCUGCCACAGGGGAGGUGGCUUGAGGACGAAGUCAGCACAGAGGACGGGGAGAGAAAAGGAGACUCCACCCGGUGGCGCAGUCACAGCCCCGAAGUCCUCAGGGGCAGAAGCCAGGGACCCUCUGGCCUUCUGGAUACAAGGAUUGAUACUGUCUUCUCCAUUAGGCUGGAAUGAGUUGGUUUUCAGUUAGAGUGGGGUGAAUUUAUAGCGAUAGUGAGGGCAAGAGAAACAGCCCUAAGAUGGUUUGGUAACAUGCAUGUGGUAUGUACACGCGCGCGCGCACACACUCACACACACGCACGCACAUAAACACACACACACACACGCGCACACAUACACUUUUCUUUUUUAGGUAUAGAGAUUUUUGCCUCAGAUGGAGCCCUGAAUGAACGUUCCGAGUACAGUACCCUAAUUGGGCCCCGGAUGGGAGUGCGCAGGCCGGACGCCAUUGUCUUGCUCUCCUUUAGCCUCUCAGGGCUUUCUUGUGCACACCCGUGACGCCCCAAGGUCUGCAGGGUGAAGAUCAAAGCAAAGCCUUCAAGUAAUAAAUGUGCAACCUGAAGGGCGUUUUCUCUACCGUAGGAUCUAAUUUUAAAGUUCCAAGUACCAAAUACCCCACCAGACUUUAUGGCACAUUUGCAGAGUCUAAAUGUCUCACCUAAGAGUAAUCUCGGAGAACAUCAAUUAAGCUAGGCUGCAUGUGACGGUACCUAGACGCAAUCCUGGCUGGCGCAGAGAAGGCAGCGUGAUGUCGUCCUCGACGGUGGAGGUGGCAUCAGAUCGGUGAGCGGAUUCUCCAGCAGCGGCCCGGGCUCCUAGGGCUGCAGGAUGGAGUUCAGUCUCCCUCCCCUCUGUUUCAGCGAACACAGCCGGGCACACCAAGGGAUAUCCCGACGACUGAUCCCGCCGCCCAUCUACAGCUGCUCUGGUCGUCGCAGCCUGAGGGGAAUCUCCAUGUCUGACACCAAGCGCAAGCAUUUGUCUAAUGCUGCCGGACACUGAUUUGAGUAUAAAACAUACCACUUGGAUCGGAACCUAAAAGAGAUGGCGAACUCUCACAGACAGGUAAAGGGAUUUGUUGGUGCUGGGAAUCGGAGGUUUCAUAACACCACAGUUCCAAAAAUAAGAGCAGUACAUUUCUUCUGUAAAGAGGGAAAUUGCUUUACAGGAAGACCACUCUCUGUGCCCAGGGCGUUCGAACCAGGGCAGCCUGCAGGAAGCCAGUUUUCUCAUUGAAUCCUGGGAAACAGAAUCAGAACUGAGUUAAAGAAAAGCCUUCCCUCCCUCCCUGUCCACCUCCCUCCCUGUCCACCUCCCUCCCAUUUUGCCUCCCUUUCUUUCUUUUAUAGGGGAUUGAAUACAGGGUCUUCAAGCUGAGCUAUAUCUCUAACCUUUUUAAUUUUAAAAUUUUGAAACAGGAUCUUGCCGAAUUGUUAUGUUGCCCAGGCUGGGCUACACCAUGUGAUCCUCCUGCCUCAGCCUCCCAGAGUGCUGGGAUGACAGGUGUGCGCCCCGAUGCCUGGCCUUGGUUACUUCUUUGACCUUGUUUUCUCUCGUGCCUCCUUUUCCUUCUCUUUGUAGUGUGACUCCUGGCAUACACGACUGGCUCAGGUUGCCUGUGGCCAGCUCACUCUGCCCUGCUAUUUUCAGCCCUGUGGGGAUGUAGUUUUGGAUUAAAGUCACGUGUCUUGGCAGCACAAGUCACUCAGCUAAUAAAGGCACAGCAGGCGCUGAAGUAACAUCCAAAUUAACCUUGUCUUAAGUGCAGAUUUUCCAAGUGGAUUGUAAAUUCUUAACAGACUUGCUUUGGUGCAGGAAACAUUUAUUUCCUAGAACCACGCUUACUUCCUCCUAAAAUGGUCUCAAAUAGUUGGUUACAUCAUUAGAGGAAAAUGCGGUUCAUAGACAUAAGUCAAAGCUGAGGCCAGAAGCCCAAUUCCCACUAAGAAAACAAGUUGUAUCAGCCAGUCAAGGUGACACAGGCCUGUAACUCCAGCAUUGUGGGAGGCUGAGGCAGGAGGAUCACAAGUUCUAGCCCAGCCUGGGUAACUUAGCAACAUAGCAAGAUCCUGCCUCCAAAAAAAAAAAAAAAAGG